AUUGAACGCUGGCGGAAUGCUUUACACAUGCAAGUCGAACGGCAGCACGGACUUCGGUCUGGUGGCGAGUGGCGAACGGGUGAGUAAUGUAUCGGAACGUGCCUAGUCGUGGGGGAUAACGUAGUGAAAAUUACGCUAAUACCGCAUACGAUCUAUGGAUGAAAGCGGGGGAUCGCAAGACCUCGCGCGAUUGGAGCGGCCGAUAUCAGAUUAGGUAGCUGGUGGGGUAAAGGCCCACCAAGCCAACGAUCUGUAGCUGGUCUGAGAGGACGACCAGCCAAACUGGAAAUGGGACACGGUCCAGACUCCUACGGGAGGAAGCAGUGGGGAAUUUUGGACAAUGGGCGAAAGCCUGACCCAGCCAUUCCGCGUGCAGGAUGAGGGCCCUCGGGUUGUAAACUGCUUUUGUACAGAACGAAAAGGUUUCUACUAAUACUAGGAGCUCAUGACGGUACUGUAAGAAUAAGCACCGGCUAACUACGUGCCAGCAGCCGCGGUAA
rnacentral:rRNA from 1 species